rnacentral:rRNA from 1 species
UACGGAGGAUCCGAGCGUUAUCCGGAUUUAUUGGGUUUAAAGGGUGCGCAGGCGGGAGAUUAAGUCGGCGGUGAAAUUUUGCAGCUCAACUGUAAAAGUGCCUUCGAAACUGGUUUCCUUGAGUGUAGAUGAAGUAGGCGGAAUUUGUGGUGUAGCGGUGAAAUGCGUAGAUAUUAGGAGGAACACCAGUUGCGAAGGCGGCUUGCUGGGCUCUAACUGACGCUGAGGCUCGAAAGUGUGGGGAGCGAACAGGAUUAGAUACCCUGGUAGUCCCU